rnacentral:rRNA from 1 species
GAUGAACGCUGGCGGCGUGCCUAAUACAUGCAAGUCGAGCGAACGGACGAGAAGCUUGCUUCUCUGAUGUUAGCGGCGGACGGGUGAGUAACACGUGGAUAACCUACCUAUAAGACUGGGAUAACUUCGGGAAACCGGAGCUAAUACCGGAUAAUAUUUUGAACCGCAUGGUUCAAAAGUGAAAGACGGUCUUGCUGUCACUUAUAGAUGGAUCCGCGCUGCAUUAGCUAGUUGGUAAGGUAACGGCUUACCAAGGCAACGAUGCAUAGCCGACCUGAGAGGGAGAGCGGCCACUGGAACUGAGACACGGUCCAGACUCCUACGGGAGGCAGCAGUAGGGAAUCUUCCGCAAUGGGCGAAAGCCUGACGGAGCAACGCCGCGUGAGUGAUGAAGGUCUUCGGAUCGUAAAACUCUGUUAUUAGGGAAGAACAUAUGUGUAAGUAACUGUGCACAUCUUGACGGUACCUAAUCAGAAAGCCACGGCUAACUACGUG